GACGAACCGUACGAACGUUAUUCGGAAUCACUGGGCUUAAAGGGUGCGUAGGCGGUCGGGUAAGUCUGAUGUGAAAUCUCACAGCUUAACUGUGAAACUGCAUUGGAUACUAUCCGGCUCGAGGAAUGGAGGGGAGACUGGAAUACUUGGUGUAGCAGUGAAAUGCGUAGAUAUCAAGUGGAACACCAGUGGCGAAGGCGAGUCUCUGGACAUUUCCUGACGCUGAGGCACGAAAGCCAGGGGAGCAAACGGG
rnacentral:rRNA from 1 species